CGCUGCUGCUGCCCUAUUACCUGAGCGAUACGCUCACCCCUGCACUUCGGGAUGGGCGAGGGGUUUGUAAGCGGUCAGCUCUCAUCUGUCCUGGUGACCUUACUGCCAGGGAGAUGGUGGUGACGGAGACGGACACUUCCCAAGUUCUUACUUCUUGCGGCAGUCCCUGGUUGGUUUUGCCUUGACAAAUCCCACCGAUGUGAUUUAAUAAGGGUUUUUUUAUGAGAAGGAUGUAAACUUACUGGAUCAGGAGGAAUGAGUGUAGCAACAUGACUGAAAUAAGUAGGAAAUUGCCAGACCAUUACGGGUACAUGUGACGUACACCCCUGAAGUUCAAAUCCAGCAUUUCAAGCUUUCACUGAAUUCUAAUUCAGAACUCAAAUCAAUAAAAAGCAGGUUUGAGAACACUACAAUACUCAAAAGAAAGACACAUUUAAUACUUCAGGACUGGUAUUUCUUUCUUGUAAUUAGGAUGAAGAAGCAACUUUCCUGGCAUUUAUUGAUCAUCCUCUCAAACUCAACAAAUUCUUGGUGUAGUUUUGGCAAGUCACUGAUAUCGUGUGGUGUCAGAGAAACAACACAGGUGCUUAUAACUUACCUGCUAGCUUCAAAUGCAAUAAUGGUAGGUUGGGGCACAGUGCUGAAGUGAAGGAAAUGCCAUGAGCUUUGCUCUCUUGACUUGUCUUCCGGAAAACACAAACCUCUUGAGAGAACAGGAAGCAUGGAAACGCUUUGCGACAGUCCUUGUGAACCUUCUUCAUCCUCAGGAUUGCUCUGUGCGUUUUUUCCCUUUAUCCGUUCCCCGUUAUAGAUGGGAGCAGGAUUCUGGUUCUCAGCCUGCAGACCACGAUGGAAUUUCUGGUUUUUAGGAUCAGUCGAAUGCAGAAAAUAAUUAUGAAUUAUUUACUGUAAUGUGGAAGGCCAUUAAUGCAAAUUUAAAUAAAAUCUGUAUUUAAUCAAAUUGAAGGUGUGCUUUAGUACUGAAAACCUUGGCUGCAGCCAGACUGUUAAUCUGAAUUACUGCGGAAGGUGUGAGAGGUGAAGGUUUUUAUGGGCAAGUCAUCAAGCUAAUGCGCGCUUUUGGGUUCACAGCACCUAGUUUAGGAGAUAAAACUCGCUGCUGUUUGGAACCUCUUGCAUCUGAACCUCAGAGAAGCAAUUUCAGUGGCACAUCUCUGUUUCCUAGCGGUGCUCGUGGAGCUGAUGAGUAACGUGGGGGGCCGUGGCCCUUGGAGCAGCGCAGCGUCACCGAGGCACGUGCCACUUCCAAGUCACGGGAGCACGCCUGGAAAAUGAGGCUCCUCUGUAUAGGACAUUAACUCAUAAAUCAUGCUAAUAUUCUCCCUGAUAAAUCUCCUACUAUGACAACCUUUUGAUACUCAUCUGUUAUUAAAGACAAAAAGCACUUAAUUCUGCUGGCUAGAGUCUUCCAUUUCUAUACAGAGCAUUUAGCUUCUGAGGGGCAAACGUGCAUACGCUGUACUUCGGGGUUCUGUGCAGCAAGGCCCAGAGGCUCACAGGGUACUUUCUGUAAAAGUCCUGUUUUUUUCUUGUUGUUUUGUUCUUUACCUCAUAAACUUUAACAUUCUGAAAUAGCUGGGCACAGGUUUGUAGGUAUUAGAGCAGAAAGGGAGAGAGAAGGUGGGAUUCACACACUGCCUCAUCCAAGUUGCUCAAAUUCUUUGUUUACAUAAACUUGAGAAGAAAGACAGAAAGCAGAUUAUUUGGGUUUAUUACAUUUCUGCUUUAAGCAGUCAUUCAUUUCUAGUUCUCACAGCUUUAACGAGGGCACGAGGGGGAAAACAGGGUUAGGCAAACUGUGCCUUCAGCGGAUCGAUAUGGGGAAAGCAAGUUUCAGCAUCCAGCUGCCUGCAGUAAAUGAUGCCCGAGUAUUUGGUAACUUCAGCUGGUCAGAUUUAAAGUCUGUUGUUUUUAUUUUUAUUUUUUACUUUUAGUUUAUUUUGUAUCUGAAAACUUGGAACAAAUUUAAAUCAGGAUUAAGAUUUCACUUUAUUUUAAAAUAGCACUGCCUGCAGUAGUGUAUGAUUACCUCAAUCUUCGCUGGCAUAUCUGAGUAGCUACAAGUGAAUAGUGGAAUUAAUGUCUGGACAAAGGAUGGUGCACUGUACAUACGGACAGUGACCUUCAUGUUUGAAGCUCCCCACCCAACUGCAUAUGUAUGUGGAUGUGUCAUGCAAUUUUGUUUUUUAUAAAAAUAAAACUUUUAAUAUUGCUGCCCAGUGCAUCUGAUAAUCAAGACUGAACAUACUGGUGAUUGCUCAAGGUUUUCAUCUACAAAGCUUGCUGCAGCUUGGUGUUAACUUACAGGGUUAUUUAUAGUUUUCUGUUACAUGCUGCAUCCUGUGUUUUGUUAUAAUGAAAAAGCUGUCUUCAUAUAACUAAGUUGUUAUAUUCACAGAAUACAUGGUAUGAGGUUCAGUGCAUCUAGUUUAGGGCUGUCACACAAAUAAAAAUGAAGGAUGUACACUGUUUUUUUCCAAA